UUUUAAUUUAAUUUUAAAAUAAUUAAUUGUAUAACGAUAUUUUUAAAUAAAUAAAAACAGAACAAAAUCUAUUUACCAGCGCUAAAUCUUACAACGAAAAUUUAUGCGGAUAACCUCCAAAAGAAAAGAAUUUUGGUAAAGCUUUCAAAUUCCGAUGAGUAAUGGCCUUGAAUCUGAAUUUACCGAAUUUCUUCUUGUUUCUCCUUCUCGAGCAAGGUCGAGCCGAUGUGGUUGAUAAGGCCGGAAGAGACUAGUCAGACGUUGAAAACCAUAUCCUGAAGGAAGCCGAUGAGGUUUUGAGCGGUUUGGUUUCUGCGAUGAGGUCGUCUCUCUCGUUUCUCGCUUGAUUUUUGUGAUUUUACUUUGGAUUAUAUAUGUGAUUUGCUUAAAUUAGAGAGUUUUUUUGCUUAGAUUAUGCGGGCGGUGGGAGAAGACAUGGUUUGUGGGUCGAUGGGGAAAUUGGGAGAAGAGAAGGUUUAUAAUGGGAGAAAGUGAAGUUUGUGUUGGAGAGUAAAGCCAUGGCGGAGGAAAAUCUAGAGAAGUGGAGUUAUUCGGGAGAGAUGGAUCAAGCCAUGGGGGAACUACGUAGUUUCAUUUAGGAGUUUCUUCGAGGAUUAUUAAUUUAUUAUUCCUGUAUGCGUUAGGUGCUUUAAAUUACGUAAAUAGAAUUUAGGGUGAAGGAGGGUGUGACUUGGGAGACAUAUUGGUGCAGUAGUGGUUGUGAUUCUGCGAAGGUGACGUCUUCUUUCUUCUUACAAUGCCCAAACUAAUUGAAAGGGAGAAGAGGGGGCUGUUUUCCAGAAUUGUGCUGCGCUAAGGUAGGUGUAGUAGACGGCUACAAGUGUCAAGUGGCCAUUACAUUACAUUAUUAAGGUUUAAGCCCCACCUCCUUUCCCUUGGCUUCUUGUACGAAUCUAUGUAAAAAUAGGUAUCUUUCAUAUUACUGAUUUUUGUAUAAAACAAAAGCUAUGUGUUAUUACGAAAAGCAUAGGUAUUGAAUUAUAUGCUUGAGGAUCAACUUUUUAAAUUACAUUGUUUA